AGAGUUUGAUCCUGGCUCAGGAUGAACGCUAGCGACAGGCUUAACACAUGCAAGUCGAGGGGCAGCGGAGGCAGUAGCAAUACUGCCUGCCGGCGACCGGCGCACGGGUGAGUAACACGUAUGCAACCUACCCUUGUCAGGGGGAUAAGCCGGAGAAAUCCGGUCUAAUACCGCGUGACAUCGGGAUUCCGCAUGGGAUUCCGAUCAAAGGAAUUAUCCGGACAAGGAUGGGCAUGCGGCGCAUUAGCUUGUUGGCGGGGUAACGGCCCACCUAACCGACGAUGCGUAGGGGUUCUGAGAGGAAGGUCCCCCACACUGGUACUGAGACACGGGCCAGACUCCUACGGGAGGCAGCAGUGAGGAAUAUUGGUCAAUGGUCGGGAGACUGAACCAGCCAAGCCGCGUGAGGGAGGAAGGUACAGAGUAUCGUAAACCUCUUUUGUCAGGGAACAAAGGCGGGGACGUGUCCCCGGAUGAGUGUACCUGAAGAAAAAGCAUCGGCUAACUCCGUGCCAGCAGCCGCGGUAAUACGGAGGAUGCGAGCGUUAUCCGGAUUUAUUGGGUUUAAAGGGUGCGCAGGCGGUCUGUUAAGUCAGCGGUCAAAGCCCGGGGCUCAACCCCGGCCCGCCGUUGAAACUGGCAGUCUCGAGUUGGAGAGAAGUAUGCGGAAUGCGCGGUGUAGCGGUGAAAUGCAUAGAUAUCGCGCAGAACUCCGAUUGCGAAGGCAGCAUGCCGGCUCCACACUGACGCUGAGGCACGAAAGCGUGGGUAUCGAACAGGAUUAGAUACCCUGGUAGUCCACGCAGUAAACGAUGAAUGCUGGCUGUCCGGGGGGAUUGACCCCUGGGUGGCGAAGCGAAAGCGAUAAGCAUUCCACCUGGGGAGUACGCCGGCAACGGUGAAACUCAAAGGAAUUGACGGGGGCCCGCACAAGCGGAGGAACAUGUGGUUUAAUUCGAUGAUACGCGAGGAACCUUACCCGGGCUCAAACGGGGAGUGACUCAGGCAGAGACGCCUGUUUCCCACGGGACACUCCCCGAGGUGCUGCAUGGUUGUCGUCAGCUCGUGCCGUGAGGUGUCGGCUUAAGUGCCAUAACGAGCGCAACCCCCGCGUGCAGUUGCUAACAGAUAACGCUGAGGACUCUGCACGGACUGCCGGCGCAAGCCGCGAGGAAGGCGGGGAUGACGUCAAAUCAGCACGGCCCUUACGUCCGGGGCGACACACGUGUUACAAUGGGUGGUACAGCGGGAAGCCAGGCGGCGACGCCGAGCGGAACCCGAAAUCCACUCUCAGUUCGGAUCGGAGUCUGCAACCCGACUCCGUGAAGCUGGAUUCGCUAGUAAUCGCGCAUCAGCCAUGGCGCGGUGAAUACGUUCCCGGGCCUUGUACUCACCGCCCGUCAAG
rnacentral:rRNA from 1 species